rnacentral:rRNA from 1 species
UUGUCUUGUAUUUGGAAUGAUGGUGACGUAAAAUCUCACCAGAGUAACAAUUGGAGGGCAAGUCUGGUGCCAGCAGCCGCGGUAAUUCCAGCUCCAAUAGCGUAUAUUAAACUUGUUGCAGUUAAAAAGCUCGUAGUUGAAUUUCUGCGUUGCCCGACUCGGCUACUUGCCUUGUCUGGUUUCGCUUUUGGGGUUUUCCCCUUUUUACUUUGAGAAAAUUAGAGUGUUUCAAGCAGACUUGUGUCUUGAAUACUUCAGCAUGGAAUAAUGAAGUAGGACUUUGUUCUAUUUGUUGUUUGAACCUAGGC